AUUGAACGCUGGCGGCAGGCCUAACACAUGCAAGUCGAGCGGCAGCGGGAAGUAGCUUGCUACUUUGCCGGCGAGCGGCGGACGGGUGAGUAAUGUCUGGGAAACUGCCUGAUGGAGGGGGAUAACUAAUGGAAACGGUAGCUAAUACCGCAUAACGUCGCAAGACCAAAGAGGGGGACCUUCGGGCCUCUUGCCAUCAGAUGUGCCCAGAUGGGAUUAGCUAGUAGGUGGGGUAAUGGCUCACCUAGGCGACGAUCCCUAGCUGGUCUGAGAGGAUGACCGGCCACACUGGAACUGAGACACGGUCCAGACUCCUACGGGAGGCAGCAGUGGGGAAUAUUGCACAAUGGGCGCAAGCCUGAUGCAGCCAUGCCGCGUGUAUGAAGAAGGCCUUCGGGUUGUAAAGUACUUUCAGCGGGGAGGAAGGUGCUGAGGUUAAUAACCUCAGCAAUUGACGUUACCCGCAGAAGAAGCACCGGCUAACUCCGUGCCAGCAGCCGCAGUAA
rnacentral:rRNA from 1 species